CUCUCUCUCUCAAACCCAGGCCCAAAACACAGCGAACAGCCAAAUCGGAAACCCACAUCGCCCUUCUUACUUCUCCUGUCUCCCAGCUUCAAUUUCUCUCCGACUCAUCCUCAACAUAUGCCUAGUAACCCUAAUCCCAAAACUCGCCGUAUUCACUCUAGAAAAUUGAGAAUUCAUUUCAAUGCAGAAGGAGAUAAAUGGGUAAGUUGCUCUCCCAAAAUGGAUUGGGAAGUGAAAAGUGAAAUCAGAAAGAAUGAGAGUAAGAACAUAGGGAAGCUUGUGACCAUGUAGAUUUAUGGUGGCCCACUUUCAUCCGCUUCCAGCUAUGGUCUCCAUGGAACUGGUGGAAGAGGUUUGAAGGUGCUUUAAAGGUUAAGAUAGAGUUUGACGACCUGAAGAAUAAGGCACUUCAUACCUGCAGUUGCUUCAAUUCCCUUGUUAGUCAAAUUGAGUGGUCUUGUCACUGACAGCUUGUUCUUCAGUAAGCUAAGCGCUAAACUUAAUGACUGACAAUGCAUGUUUUCUUUUUCAUUUUUUUUCUCCAAGUAAUAAACUACAAAAUUUUAGGAGCUCAUUGCAUUGAAUUGUUCUUGCAGUUUCAGUUUCUUAGGUUUUUGUUUGUGUUUUAGUGCUUAAGAGUCUUUUUCCCCCCUCAAAUUUGGGCAGUAGAUUGGGAAGCAUUUUUACGAUAUCGGCCUAUGUUGGCCACUUUCAUCCACUUCCACCUGUGAUCUCCAUGGAACUGCUUGAUGACAUAAAGAAAAUGCAGUAGUAUGCGGUCCUUUCUUAGUCAAAUUGAGAGCUCCCUGCUAUAAUUUCUCUAGGCUUAACUUGAGUAAUCCCUCCCCUUGUCUCUUACUCAAGAUCAAAUAAUGCAUUUGUUUCAGGCAAACAUUCCUGCUGCUUACCUAAAUGCCAAUAUGGAGUAGAGUGAACAACAGGAGAAAACUCUGAAUAUGUCACCCCUGAAAAAGUUGCCAAAUUUUAAACUAUAUAAUUAUGGAUGGGAACUUGGUUUGCCCUGCAAAGAUGGGAAGAUCUGUAGCUGUAGUGGAAAUAACUAUUUGAAUGCUUAGUGGCAACACAUAGGAGCUUAUAGACAUUUAUAAUCUAAGUGAGAAAUCGUCUUUGGAGUUGAGACCAUUCAUUAAGGCUGUUUGAAAGUUGCAAUGUUUUCACUAGUUCAAGAGUCGAGACGAAUUCAUGGACAUCCACAAUGAAUACGCUGUGGGUUGAACUUGUAUAGUUAGAUUAUUGUUAGUAGUUAUUUAUUGAAUCGUUAGUUAUUGCUUAAUAACUUUGUGCUCAUUGUAUUGUAUUUUAGUUAUAAUAGAUACAUUGGUCACUAGUCUCGUACUAAAUUAUGUAUAUUUUAAUUUUUUU